CUGAAAAGCAGAGCUGCUGGGUCAUAGGGGAUCUCUCUGUGUAGUCUUUUGAGGAACCUCCAACUGCUUUCCAGAGCAGUUGAACAC